rnacentral:rRNA from 1 species
AGUGAACGCUGGCGGCAGGCCUAAUACAUGCAAGUCGAACGGCAGCACAGCAGAGCUUGCUCUGUGGGUGGCGAGUGGCGGACGGGUGAGGAAUACAUGGGAAUCUGCCCAGUCGUGGGGGAUAACGUAUGGAAACGUACGCUAAUACCGCAUGCGCCCUUUGGGGGAAAGCCGGGGACCUUCGGGCCUGGCGCGAUUGGAUGAGCCCAUGUUCGAUUAGCUAGUUGGCGGGGUAAAGGCCCACCAAGGCGACGAUCGAUAGCUGGUCUGAGAGGAUGAUCGGCCACACUGGGACUGAGACACGGCCCAGACUCCUACGGGAGGCAGCAGUAGGGAAUAUUGGACAAUGGGCGCAAGCCUGAUCCAGCCAUGCCGCGUGAGUGAAGAAGGCCCUCGGGUUGUAAAGCUCUUUUGUCCGGAAAGAAAAGCAUUCGGUUAAUACCCGGGUGUUCUGACGGUACCGGAAGAAUAAGCACCGGCUAACUUCGUG